rnacentral:rRNA from 1 species
ACUUAUGUAUUAUGAUGAAAUAUCCAUCAGAACUCUGCAGUUAAGCGCCCUUGGGCCGGAAUAGUACUGGGAUGGGUGACCUCCCGGGAAGUCCCGGUGCCGUAUCCA